rnacentral:rRNA from 1 species
UACAGAGGUCUCAAGCGUUGUUCGGAUUCAUUGGGCGUAAAGGGUGCGUAGGCGGCGGGGCAAGUCGGAUGUGAAAUCUCAGGGCUCAACCCUGAAACUGCAUUCGAUACUGCCUUGCUCGAGGACUGGAGAGGAGAUUGGAAUUCACGGUGUAGCGGUGAAAUGCGUAGAUAUCGUAAGGAAGACCAGUGGCGAAGGCGGGGU